rnacentral:rRNA from 1 species
UACGUAGGUGACAAGCGUUGUCCGGAUUUACUGGGCGUAAAGGGCUCGUAGGUGGCCAACUAAGUCAGACGUGAAAUCCCUCAGCUUAACUGGGGAACUGCGUCUGAUACUGGAUGGCUUGAGUUCGGGAGAGGGAUGCGGAAUUCCAGGUGUAGCGGUGAAAUGCGUAGAGAUCUGGAGGAACACCGAUGGCGAAGGCAGCCUUCUGGGCCAACACUGACGCUCAUGCACGAAAGCGUGGGGAGCAAACAGG